GAUCUACCCUAUGGACCGGGAUACCACGGGAAACUGUGGCUAAUCCUGGAUAGUGCUCCCGAGCUUGAAUGCUGGGAGCACCAAACGCUCCGGUGCUAUAGGAUGAGGCUGCGGCCGAUUAGGUAGACGGUGAGGUAACGGCUCACCGUGCCGAUAAUCGGUAUGGGUCAUGAGAGUGAGAACCCAGAGACGGAAUCUGAGACAAUAUUCCGGGCCCUACGGGGCGCAGCAGGCGCGAAACCUUUACACUGCACGACAGUGCGAUAGGGGGACACCGAGUGCGAGGGCAUAGAGCCCUCGCUUUUGUGUACCGUAAGGUGGUACACGAAUAAGGGCUGGGCAAGACCGGUGCCAGCCGCCGCGGUAACACCGGCAGCCCGAGUGAUGGCCGAUUUUAUUGGGCCUAAAGCGUCCGUAGCUGGCCGCGGAGGUCCGUCGGGAAAUCUACUGGCCUAACCAGUAGGCGUCCGGCGGAAACCCCGUGGCUUGGGACCGGGAGACCUGAGGGGUACGUCUGGGGUAGGAGUGAAAUCCUGUAAUCCUGGACGGACCACCGGUGGCGAAAGCGCCUCAGGAGAACGGAUCCGACAGUGAGGGACGAAAGCUAGGGUCUCGAACCGGAUUAGAUACCCGGGUAGUCCUAGCUGUAAACGAUGCUCGUU
rnacentral:rRNA from 1 species